AGAUGUUUGCAAAGACGUGGCCAGAACAACGGAGAUGAUCUUGAUCUUCAGGAAUCAGCAGAGGGAGCACCCCCCUAUCCACAUCGACGUGACCGCAGUGGAGAAGGUGGAAAGCUUCAAGUUCCUUGGACUACACAUCACUGACAAACUGAAAUGGUCCUCACACACAGACAGUGUGGUGAAGAAGGUGCAACAGCGCAUCUUUAACCUUUUUUGGCUUGGCACCUAAAAGCCUCACAAACUUUUACAGAUGCACAAUUGAGAGCAUCCUGUCGGGCUGUAUCACUGCCUGGUAUGGCAACUGCACCGCCCGCAAACACAGGGCUCUCUAGAGGGUGAUGCGGUCUGCCCAGCACAUCACCGGGGGCAAAUUACCUGCCCUCCAAGACACCUACAGCACCCGAUGUCACAGGAAGGCCAAAAAGAUCAAGGACAACAACCACCCGAGCCACUGCCUGUUCACCCCGCUAUCAUCCAGAAGGCGAAGUCAGUACAGGACAAGAGAAAUACCUAUGUAAGAAUGCUGUUCAUCGACUACAGCUCAGCCUUCAACACCAUAGUGCCCUUCAAGCUCAUCACUAAGCUCAGGGCCCUGGGUCUGAACCACUCCCUGUGCAACUGGGUCCUGGACUUCCUGAUGGGCCGACCCCAAUUAGUGAAGGAAACCUCUCAUCGUCACACUUUCCUGUUGCAUUCCACCCAGAUUGAAGAGGGAGAUUGAGAAAGAUGAAG
rnacentral:lncRNA from 1 species